AUUGAACGCUGGCGGCAGGCCUAACACAUGCAAGUCGAACGAGUGGCGGACGGGUGAGUAAUGUCUGGGCAACUGCCUGAUGGAGGGGGAUAACUACUGGAAACGGUAGCUAAUACCGCAUACCAUCAGAUGUGCCCAGAUGUGAUUAGCUAGUUGGUGGGGAAACGGCUAACCAAGGCAACGAUCCUUAGCUGAUCUGAGAGGAUGCCCAGCAACAAUGGACAUGAGAAACGGUCCAGACUCCUACGGGAGGCUGCGGUGGGAAAUAUUGAACAAUGGGCGCAAGCCUGAUGCGGCCAGGCCGGGUGUAUGAAGAAGGCAUUCGGGUUGUAAGGACAUUUCCUCGGGGAGGCGUUACCCGCAGAAGAAGCACCGGCUAACACCGUGCCAGCAGCCGCGGUAAUAC
rnacentral:rRNA from 1 species